rnacentral:sRNA from 1 species
GAUCAUUAUUGAAUGAACUUGGUGUGGUUGUUGCUGGUCCUCUUUUGGGGGCAUUGUGCACACCCACCAUCCUCAUCUCUCCACCUGUGCACCUCUUGUAGACUUGGAUUGACUUUCCGAGGCAACUCGGUCGGGAGGACUGCUGGCACUAGCUUGCUUUCCUUGCAUUUCCAGGUCUAUGUUUUUCAUAUACCCCAUUGUAUGUAACAGAAUGUAAUACUAGGCCCUUGUGCCUAUAAAACUUAUACAACUUUCAGCAACGGAUCUCUUGGCUCUCGCAUCGAUGAAGAACGCAGCGAAAUGCGAUAAGUAAUGUGAAUUGCAGAAUUCAGUGAAUCAUCGAAUCUUUGAACGCACCUUGCGCUCCUUGGUAUUCCGAGGAGCAUGCCUGUUUGAGUGUCAUUAAAUUCUCAACCUUUAUCAGCUUUUGCUGGUGAUGGCUUGGAUAUGGGGGUUUAUUUUGCUGGCUUCUUCACAGAUGGUCAGCUCCCCUUAAAUGCAUUAGCCGGUGCCCCGCGUGGACUGUCUAUUGGUGUGAUAAUUAUCUACGCCGUGGACAUCUGCAAUCAUAUGGGUUUGCACUGCUUCCAACCGUCUGUUCAUUYGGACAAUACAUGACAAUUUGACCUCAAAUCAGGUAGGACUACCCGCUGAACUUAAGCAUAUCAAUAAGCGGAGGAAAAGAAACUAACAAGGAUUCCCCUAGUAACUGCGAGUGAAGCGGGAAAAGCUCAAAUUUAAA